rnacentral:rRNA from 1 species
CCAGACUCCUACGGGAGGCAGCAGUGGGGAAUAUUGGACAAUGGGGGGAACCCUGAUCCAGCGACGCCGCGUGAGUGAAGAAGUAUUUCGGUAUGUAAAGCUCUAUCAGCAGGGAAGAAAGGAAUGACGGUACCUGACUAAGAAGCCCCGGCUAACUACGUGCCAGCAGCCGCGGUAAUACGUAGGGGGCAAGCGUUAUCCGGAUUUACUGGGUGUAAAGGGAGCGUAGACGGCAGCACAAGUCUGGAGUGAAGUCCCGGGGCUUAACCCCGGAACUGCUUUGGAAACUGUGCGGCUGGAGUGCAGGAGGGGUAAGCGGAAUUCCUAGUGUAGCGGUGAAAUGCGUAGAUAUUAGGAGGAACACCGGUGGCGAAGGCGGCUUACUGGACGGUAACUGACGUUGAGGCUCGAAAGCAUGGGGAGCAAACAGGAUUAGAUACCCCGGUAU